GACGUAGGGUGCAAGCGUUAAUCGGAAUUACUGGGCGUAAAGCGUGCGCAGGCGGUCUUGCAAGACAGAUGUGAAAUCCCCGGGCUCAACCUGGGAACUGCAUUUGUGACUGCAAGGCUGGAGUGCGGCAGAGGGGGAUGGAAUUCCGCGUGUAGCAGUGAAAUGCGUAGAUAUGCGGAGGAACACCGAUGGCGAAGGCAAUCCCCUGGGCCUGCACUGACGCUCAUGCACGAAAGCGUGGGGAGCAAACAGG
rnacentral:rRNA from 1 species